rnacentral:lncRNA from 1 species
CCCGGCACUGCCCAGAGCUGCGGGCGCCCCGUGGCCACGGAUGGACCCCGGCAGUACGAGCUGGGGGCAGCCAGCCCACGGCACGGGUUGGAACUAAAUCUCUGAGCUCCCUUCUGACAUAAACCAUCCUAUGAUUCUGCGGUGAGCAGCGCUGCCGUGGGCUCCCGACACCAAUCCUGCCGGCUCAGCACACCGGGCCACGAGCAGCACCGCCCCCGGGCCGCGCCGCUGCGCGGGUGGGAGAGGAGCGCACAGCGCUCUGGGAGCUGUAGUCCCCCCCCACACCCCUCCCCGCCGCCAUCUUGGCGCCCCCUGAACACCGCCCCCGCGGCGCUCCCCGGCCGCCAUCUUGGGUCGGGGGCGAAGCCGCCCUCAUGAGGCAGCGGCGAGGUGGAGGGUUUGCAUUUUGUACCAGUGAAAGCGUUGCUUUUAUUUAGAAUUGAAAGAGCUGAGAAUCCCUCACAAAAAGCAAGCUGAGCAGGCCUGGUGGUGCCUGUGAGGUUCUGGCUUUGCUUGUGGGUGUUGUGAGGUGUUUGCCUCAUGUCAGUUCUGUAUCAAGCUUAGGUUAAUGAAGGCCUUUGGUCGUCGUCAGCUCCCCCCACCCCCUGAGGACCCAAAUAAGGAGAUGAUGGAGUGGCGAGGAUUCCUCUAGUGAGUCUGUUCCAGCUCAUUCCUUACAAAGGCUGCGUGUGAAAGAUAGAGGCCCACAGAUCUGGGUUUUGUCCAGGGGUCUCCAGGUUUAAAGCUCCCCACAGCCGCUUCAGCUCAGUUUCCCUGUGACUCGGCUGGGCACGACUUCUUUCUCUGCCCCAAAAACAUAAAGCUUUUCUCUUCAGAACUUUUUUGGUUGCGUGACAAACUCAGCCUAUCCUUUAGCAAAAAUGGAAGCUAUCAAGAAAAAGAUGCAGAUGUUGAAGCUGGACAAGGAGAAUGCAAUUGAUAGAGCAGAGCAGGCUGAAACGGAUAAGAAGGCAGCUGAGGACAAAUGCAAACAGGCAAGUAGAAAUCAAAUCACUGAUUGUGCACGUGUUGUGGAAAUCGGUGUAAUGAAGUACUAUGCUGCACUCUGAUUCAGAAAACAUCAUUUGAAUUGGAGUUUCCCAUUAAUCUGUUUUGAAUCUUUUGCCUAUUUAUGAUGUUAAACUCGUACAGCCACUGCUAGGUAUUAAUAAUCUU